rnacentral:rRNA from 1 species
GACGAACGCUGGCGGCGUGCUUAACACAUGCAAGUCGAACGGAAAGGCCCCUUUGGGGGUACUCGAGUGGCGAACGGGUGAGUAACACGUGAGUAACCUGCCCUUGACUUCGGGAUAACUUCAGGAAACUGGGGCUAAUACCGAAUAGGAAUCCUUGCUGCAUGGUGGGGGUUGGAAAGCUUCGGCGGUUUUGGAUGGACUCGCGGCUUAUCAGCUUGUUGGUGGGGUAGUGGCUUACCAAGGCUUUGACGGGUAGCCGGCCUGAGAGGGCGACCGGCCACAUUGGGACUGAGAUACGGCCCAGACUCCUACGGGAGGCAGCAGUGGGGAAUAUUGCACAAUGGGCGGAAGCCUGAUGCAGCAACGCCGCGUGCGGGAUGACGGCCUUCGGGUUGUAAACCGCUUUCAGCAGGGGCGAAGCUUUUGUGACGGUACCUGCAGAAGAAGCACCGGCUAACUACGUG